rnacentral:rRNA from 1 species
UACAGAGGGGGCAAGCGUUAUUCGGAAUUAUUGGGCGUAAAGGGCGCGUAGGCGGCCUGGCAAGUGGAAGGUGAAAUCCCUCGGCUUAACCGAGGAACUGCCCUCCAAACUGCUUGGCUUGAGUCCGGGAGAGGUGAGUGGAAUUCCUGGUGUAGCGGUGAAAUGCGCAGAUAUCAGGAGGAACACCGGUGGCGAAGGCGGGUCUCUGGGCCGAUACUGACGCUGAGGAGCGAAAGCGUGGGGAGCGAACAGG